GACAGAGGGUGCAAGCGUUGUUCGGAAUUACUGGGCGUAAAGCGCAUGUAGGCGGCCACGCAGGUCGGAUGUGAAAUCCCUCGGCUCAAUCAAGGAAGUGCAUUCGAAACCGCAUGGCUGGAGUCCCGGAGAGGAAGGCGGAAUUCUCGGUGUAGAGGUGAAAUUCGUAGAUAUCGAGAGGAACACCGGCGGCGAAAGCGGCCUUCUGGACGAGGACUGACGCUGAGAUGCGAAAGCGUGGGGAGCAAACAGG
rnacentral:rRNA from 1 species